rnacentral:rRNA from 1 species
GAUGAACGCUGGCGGCGUGCCUAAUACAUGCAAGUCGAGCGAACGGACGAGAAGCUUGCUUCUCUGAUGUUAGCGGCGGACGGGUGAGUAACACGUGGAUAACCUACCUAUAAGACUGGGAUAACUUCGGGAAACCGGAGCUAAUACCGGAUGAUAUUUUGAACCGCAUGGUUCAAAAGUGAAAGACGGUCUUGCUGUCACUUAUAGAUGGAUCCGCGCUGCAUUAGCUAGUUGGUAAGGUAACGGUUUACCAAGGCAACGAUGCAUAGCCGACCUGAGAGGGUGAUCGACCACACUGGAACGGAGACACGGUCCAGAGUCCUACGGGAGGCAGCAGUAGGGAAUCUUCCGCAACGGGCGAAAGCCUGACGGAGCAACGCCGCGUGAGUGAUGAAGGUCUUCGGAUCGUAAAACUCUGUUAUUAGGGAAGAACAUAUGUGUAAGUAACUGUGCACAUCUUGACGGUACCUAAUCAGAAAGCCACGGCUAACUACGUG